ensembl:antisense Gm15691 predicted gene 15691
GAAAGAUAUAAAGGACUUCCCAUGAGAGACAGACAGAAGUACCAGCUCCUGGCCGCAGCCCAUGGUGUCCUCUGAAGAGAAGAUGGGGGCGCAAAUGAACCUCACUUGGGGCUUGCUUUAAAGUGGCAAAGCUGGCCACUGGUGAAAAACCUGCCCUUCCCUUUGCUUACGUCCAGGACCCUGCCCAAACUAUGGAAGAGCAGGACACUGGAGAGUUGACUGCAUGCACCUCUUUGCUUCACUAAGGUAGGUCUGUGCCCUAAGUUUCUCCUCCACAGGAAAGACUCUUGGAUCUUCUGUGCCUGCUGUCUGAGGACCGACACUGCCCUGGGAUUUUCACUUCUAACAAAUGCAUCAGGAUUAUCACAGAGGAGCCUAGGAUAACUGUCCAGGUAAUGGAUCAAGAAGCUGGGCUUUCUGCUAUCCACGAAUAAUUGUGAACGCACUCUUGAUUACAGACAGUACCUGUGGACCCUCCUGCCUUCAGCCAUCAUGGAGAAGACUCUCUCCGUCCCUCACCUGGCUCCUGCCAAGACAGAGAUUCCAUCCUCUCCUCUGAUCUGGCUGGAGAAUUUUCUCCUUUACCCUCAAGCACUACUGUGCCCUUCUCCCAGUCUUGAGUUGGCUAAACAAGUCUCCGACUGGAGCCAGGCACCUGGCCUCACUACAUUUACAUCUUCCUGCUGUGUCUAGAGAGACUGCCCACCCAUUGAGAUGCUGUUGAGCUUAUUUUGCAACAAAAUCCAGCUGAGACAAAGCAACAGAACCCAGCCAGAACAAAGGACUAGCCUUUGGGAUUUUCCCCCAUAUAUUUAGAAUUAAAAAAAAAAAUUAAACAUUAAACCUUUAUCAGAAACA